AUCAUCCUGCAUUUCCAGAGCAUUUGGCUCAGAAGCCAAGUAGAUGGUCCCCUCUUCCAAGGUAAAGGUUGAACUGGAAGGUAACCCUUUACUGGAAAAAUAAAGAAGAAUGAUGAGCAUGUGGCCUUCAGAACAAAAUCCAAGGACUUCUCCAAAGUGAGAAAAAAAUUCUAGUUGACCUGACAUGAGAGAGUUGGGCUCUGCGAUUUCAAGGCCUGAGGUGGAGAGAUGCUGCGUGCAGGCUGGGGAAGCCUGGGGACCAUCUGCAGUGUCACAGGGCCAGUGCUGCUGAAGUAUGAGCAGAGUUACAACGCUGGGCAAGUCAUGACCCUGAGGUCCUGGUUCCUCCUCUGAAAGUGAGAAUGGCAGUCCCCGUCCAGCCCACCUCCCAGGGCCAUCAAGAGGACCAAGUCAGAACAUGCAAGCAAAAGAAAGGCAGACAGAGGG